rnacentral:rRNA from 1 species
GACGAACGCUGGCGGCGUGCUUAACACAUGCAAGUCGAACGCUGAAGCCCAGCUUGCUGGGUGGAUGAGUGGCGAACGGGUGAGUAACACGUGAGUAACCUGCCCCCUUCUUUGGGAUAACGCCCGGAAACGGGUGCUAAUACUGGAUAUUCACUGGCUUUCGCAUGGGGGUUGGUGGAAAGGUUUUUUCUGGUGGGGGAUGGGCUCGCGGCCUAUCAGCUUGUUGGUGGGGUGAUGGCCUACCAAGGCUUUGACGGGUAGCCGGCCUGAGAGGGUGACCGGUCACAUUGGGACUGAGAUACGGCCCAGACUCCUACGGGAGGCAGCAGUGGGGAAUAUUGCACAAUGGGCGAAAGCCUGAUGCAGCGACGCCGCGUGAGGGAUGACGGCCUUCGGGUUGUAAACCUCUUUCGCUCAUGGUCAAGCCGCAGCUUUGGGUUGUGGUGAGGGUAGUGGGUAAAGAAGCGCCGGCUAACUACGUGCCAGCAGCCGCGGUAAUACGUAGGGCGCGAGCGUUGUCCGGAAUUAUUGGGCGUAAAGGGCUUGUAGGCGGUUGGUCGCGUCUGCCGUGAAAUCCUCUGGCUUAACUGGGGGCGUGCGGUGGUACGGGCUGACUUGAGUGCGGUAGGGGAGACUGGAGCUCCUGGGGUAGCGUGUAAUGCACAAAUAUCAGGCAGAACACCCGCUGGCGAAGGCGGGGUCUGGGGCCCUACUGACCCUGAGAGGAAGCAUGGGACGAACACG